UUAAAAUAUUAUUCUCUAUUUUAUUUUUAUAUUCAACUGUAGUGGAAUUGUUUAACAUUUUUAAACGUCAAUCCCAAUUCGCCACAACACGAAGGGUUUUAGGUUUUAAUUGAAAAUCUUCAAAUCUUACCCUAAAACCCUAAAAAUCGGCCAUGGAUAAAGGUGGUGCUAAACCAGUGUGCGCCCAAGAAGCUCUUGAUCUGCUAAAUUGCGUAGCAGAAUCUCCGUCGUAUGAUCAAGAUAAAUGCCUCGCCCUUUUGAAUUCGUUGCGCGAGUGCGUUCUCGCCAAGAAAGUGAAGAAAUUUUCCCUAGCUGGCCAGGAACAACAAGAAACUAAUCCAAGCAACAAGAAGGCUUAAUUGUGUAUUGGUACCACAGCUUCCUCCGUCCCAUUGAAUUCAUAGUUUCAUGUAUCAUCUACUCCCAGGAACCUCUUUCACUUUUACCAUUUGACCACUGUUUUGAUGUGCAAAAGCUGUAUACUUUCACAUAUCCACAAAUAAUGCAGAUUUUGAUAGUUUUUUUUUGUUCCUAGUGUAGUAUUGAAUGGAAGGUACUUUCUUCCCGGCUUUAAUCAUAAUUGGUAGCCUAGGAAUAAUGCAAAAUAUUUCCAGUUUACCUCAGUCUGCUUAAACAUACAUAACUUCUUGCAAGUUGAAGUUGAAUUAUGAUUGUUCCACUUCUAAUACAAUAAGUGUUCUUUUUUUCUUC